CACACACACACACACAUCCACCCUCUUGGUUCUGUUUUCUCUGGCGAACCCUGACUACUACAGAUACCUUUAUCCUAGAACCCUGACUACUACAGAUGCAUCUUGAAAUUCUUAAAUGAAAGGUAAAAUCUAUUUGGAGCACUGCAUUAUAUUUUCCAAUAAAAAUAUAACUAUCUUAGAGCACAGGAACUUUUGGCUGUUUUGUAGAGGGUAGAAGCUUAGGAAAUCUUCAAUGAUCAUAAAUAUUUUUUGAAUGAAUGGCGAAUAAAAAAGUUACAAUUAGUCUAACUGUGAUGACAUUUUUUCCCUAGCAGUGUAAAAGGUGUAAAGAUCUAUUAAUUUAGUUGUCUAAAGAAGAUGCUUAUAGCUUGCUGGAUUAUAGUGAUAUUUAACUAAGUUUUUAAAACAGAUAUUGACUAUUGAAAAUUUCUUUUGCAUGUUUCAGUAGCAUUUUACUUUCAACGUAUUUAUUUUUAAAAUUGCUGCUCAUUAGGGGGAAAAGGACUUGACCCUUCCCAUUUAAGGAGACUUGCUGGUAAAGACCAAUUUGUAUGUCAUUGAACAGAACUUAUUAGAAUUCUAGCCAGAAAGUCAUGUGGGAGGCUGAGAAAUAUGGCCCUCCAGCUGAGCAUAUCAACACUUCAAAUAAAACUUGGGUUCAGUUACUAAGGAGGAAGAGGAGAGUAGAUGUUGGGAUAGGCAACUAGCAGCUUCCGCCAUAGGGUGCUAUUUUUUGUUACUGUUAUUUAAAAUCUCAAUCGGUGGACAAGCAUUUUGCCUAGUUGUUGUCACUGUUAGUAUACUAAAGCUGGCAGACCUGAAUUAUCAUUGCUUUUAGGGAACGAAAACCACACAAUUUAAAUUAUUGAGAAGUGUUACAGCUGGCAGAGAUCUAAGAACUAAUUGGGCACAGCUGCUUCAUUUUGCAGACGAGAAGCUAAAGCCCAGAGAGGUAAAGUGGCUGAAGUGGAAAAGACUUCCUGAGAGCAUAAAGAUGGUCAUCUUGGCUGCGUCCACACACUCGUAGGCUCUGUUAUUUCAAGUUUAAUCAAAGAAAGUUAUCCAGCCCUUCAGUGCUGCAUUGUUUCUUCCCAUGAAACUUCACUGUACAAAUACCUGCCAUUUGGGAAUCAGCAGGCUCAAGUGAAGGUUUGUAAAUUCUUGGUGUACCACCGAAACUAUGUAUUUUUUUAGCAGUGAAUGCAUUGUUCCCAUUAUUAGCAUUUUGAAAUAAUAACAGUGGGAAUUUAUUGAGAAUUAGUUUAUAAGCUCCAUGAAAGCAGGGAUCAAGUUUGAUUUCACACGCCACUGUAUCUAUAGUGCCCAACAUAGCCCUUGAUGCAUAAUACGUAAUACAACAAAUAAAUAGCUGUUGAUUGAGUAGAUGUAGUGUUUAUGAGGCGGCAGACGUGGUGUUUGUUAAGUAUUCUUCAUGAGUCAUCUCAUUUCAUUCUUGUAACAACCCCAUGAGGCGGAUAAUAUAUGAAACUAAAAUUUGAAAAUGUGCCCAUAGAUAAAAACAGAAUGAGUGUUGGGACUUGGGCUAGUCUGUCUGACUCCAUUCUAAAUUACUAGGGAAGCUGGAGGUUUUGGAGUUGAUUAUCAGAUGAAACAAAACUACUCUUAGAUUAAUUAUGAGGAAUUUAAAAAGCCUGACUAGUUGAUGUGUUAUCCAUCACAAAGAUAAGUUAAUUAGCUUAACAAAAAAAUGGAAGAAAAAGAUAGGAAAAGGCUGACCUGUUAGGUUAGUGAAGGAUUCUUGGGUAUUUUGGGAGGAGUGGGAUAAGUUUGAGUGGAGAAAAGUUAUUCAAUGAAGCUUUCACCCUAUCUUGCUUGAGAGACUUUCCUUUGAGCCAUGCAUUAAACUUGAAAAUGCUGUCCUGAAGUGUUACCAAAUCUAGAUCAUGGAUGACAGACAUUUAAUCUUACUCCCGACAUCCCAGGAUUUACUUCUGUGGUUCUAUGCCUUUUUUUAUUUUUUAUUUUUUUUAAAGGAAAUGGUGACUCUGUGUAGAACAGAGGAGAGCAGUAAGCUGCAGGAACUUUCUUACUGUGGUUUCUGGGCCCUGACAUUGCUUUUCUACAUCUACCGAAAGAAAACUUGUCUAUUUCUGUGUACAGAUUUUUGUUAUUUGUUUUUCUUCUUGUUGUUGUUCCUAAGAUAUUUCUAACGCUGGAAGCCUGUCUUAGGAGGUGAUGAUGAUGUGACCCUGAAUCUCAGACCCCUACAUAAAGAUCCGAGCCCUGUGUCUGGAAUAGACUUGCCAAAGCAGGCCUGUGGGUCUGGUGUGGCUUAGGGCCCUAGUCUUUGAAUGGUGGAUGUGGGCUGGCUGUGGCCAUAUUUCUCUGAAGGCUUUGUUUUUUUCCCCUCCUGUCAUAUAGCCAGAACCUAGUUGUUCUCAACUCUGGAUAUUUCUUAGAAUAAUCUGAGGAGACUUAAAAUAUUGAUGUCUGGGUUCCACUAAAGAGUCUGAGUUGAUAGAUUUGGUGAGGAGUCAAGGCAUUCGUAUUUAUUUUAGAAGCACCCCAGGUGAUUCUAAUGUGUAGUCAGAGUUAAGAGCCAUUCUUGUAGCCUAACAAGGCCCCUGCCCCAAAACCAUUAUUUUUGCUUGCCUUUUUCUCCCAUUCUGUAUCUUGUGUGAUCAGCAAUAGGGCUUUUGCUUCUACUGGAUGGCAUUUCUAAUUACCAUUAAAGGCUGUGUAUUAGAUUGAAGUCAGGAGGACAGGCAAGGUAGUUUCUAUGACAAGCACAGAGUGAGAUGUACAUAAUGAUUAUUUUACUUUUUAAUUAAAAAUUAAUGAAUAAAUAAGGAAAUAAUAAAAGUGAAACAAGUAUGAACUAGAAGUUUUAUAAUUUUUCUGUAACCAGUAGAUCCAAAUACAGAUAAUCUGUCAAGAAAUAGAAAAAUUAGGCUACAUGAAUGCUUUUCUAUAAAAAGGCUUUAAUAAAAAGGUCUCAAAAAGAACUAAAAAAUGAAUCUGACCAAUUAUUUCAGAAGAAAUUGAGCCAGCUAUCAUAAAAAAUCAGGCACAAACAGUUUCCAGUUGGAUAAAUUUAAAUUAUUAAGGAUCAGAUGGCUGUUGGGCAGUUUAAAAGUAUUUUAGAACAGAGAAAGUGAACCUUCUGAAUUAUCUUUAUGAAGCAAGCAUAACAUUAGUAUAAAAAAUGAGAGUGGCACUUAAAAACAAUUAGCUAUGCAAUGUAAUCUUUUAUGAGAAUAUUGAUAUAAAAAUCCCAAAUAAAGUACAAGCAAAAACAACCUAGCAAUGAAUAAAAGGUUAGCACCACAGCCAAGUGAGGUUCAUUUUAACAAAUCAAAGAUGGAUCAAUAGUGGAAAUCUGCUAGUGGAAUUCUCUAUGUUGAUAGGUAAAGGAGGAAAAAAAGUGUUGAUAACAACGGAUGUGGCAAAUGCAUUUGAUAAAAGUCAAUACGUAUACUAGAUAAGCAGUAAAAUAGUAACACAUCAUAUUUCAGUAAUUUUCAUGAGUUAUUCCAUUACACUGAAUGGUGAAGAACUAGAACCAUUUUUUAAAGUUAGAAACAGAAGAGGAUAUAACAAUAACCACUAUUAUCUACCAUAUGUAAUAAGAGAUUUAGAGCACCAAGUGAACAGUGCUUUCUAUGUUCCUUGCAAAUCAUUUAAUCCUCCUCAAACACUGCAAGAGAGAUACUUUUAUUCCCAUUUACUGAUGAGAAAAUAACAGCACAGAGAAAUAACUUGCCCAGACUCACACUGCCCAGAAGUAGCAGAGCUUCGAUUUGAGUCUGCCUACACUGCCCCUGUGGGAAGAAAAUUGAUGAUGAUAAGAUACUUGAAUAAAUGAAGUUCCAAUGAUAAUUUUGAAAGGAUGACAUUUUCUCUAAAUUUUAUUUAUGAAUUAAAUUAUACUGCAAUUGUAAUUCCAAUAAGAUUUUCUUAACUUGAAAAAAUGAUUCCAAAGUUCCUCUAGAUGAAUAGAUAUUAAAGAAUAGCCAGAAAAACUUUAUAAGGAAGUAUAAUGGGAAAGGACUUACAUUUGUGGUAAUGCAGUGAACACAGAAAUGGCCCAGUAAGAAACCAAAAAUGGAGAGUAUAGAACAGAUGUCAACAAACUAAGGCUAGCAGAGGAGAAACUAAAGCCCAGAAAGGUACAGCCACAGUCAACAUUUACAUAUGAUCUAUGGCGACUUUCAUGCUACAACAGCUAUGUAGUUGUGACAGAGAUCAUAUGGGUGGCAAAACCAAAAAUAUUUACUCUCUGGUCCUUUACAGAAAAAGUUCGCCAAUCCCUAGCAUAAAGUCCAUACUUAAGUGAAUGUAGAAGGCACUUAAAAAUCAGUCAGGAGGCUCUUAGGGCAAGAUGGCUGGCUAGAUGCAGCCAGGUGGGACAGCUGCCACCAAGGGACCUGGAAGAUUGGUGCAAUCCUAACAUCUUCAGAGGGAAGGCACUGAAAGUGAAUACAGAGAAGACACAGAAACUGGCUGAAGUGGGAGGGAGUGGGGAACCCUGCAUGGGACUAUUGCACAGUGGAGGGACUUGCUCCGGCCCCAUGACUCCAAACGGGGGAGUUUAACUGGCAAGGAGCAACUUACUCUUGCCACAAGCCUCUGGAAUCCCAAAAUGAGAAGACGUCUGGAUUGCCACAGACACUUGAGUUGGGAGGAAGAGCUACUCAGAGAAGUGGUAGGGGCAGCACUCCAGCCAGUGAAGAGCCCAGAGGGUUUGGUGUGGGAGCGUCUUAGUGGAGCAUGGCUGAUGCCCAUCCCCUAGGCUCCACUUGCUUCCACAGUUGACUUUAGUCUUAGGGAAACUGUCGGACCUGAACUCUGCAAGGCAGUGUUGCCCAUCAGAUGGGGCUGUUCCAACCUGAACAACCCUUGGCCUGCUGGGCUCUCCUGGGGCCCCAGCCUGGGUGCCUCUGCUUGCAGUGCAGCCUCAGGUGCCAAGGGGGCCUGCAUCCCAGCUCCUGCACUGGCAGACAGCCACAGGAGACCUCUAGCAGGGCAGCCCGGUGGACCUGCAUUAGCCUGCCCACUCCCUCCUUCUCUGCAGCUCACCUGGCCCAUGGCCACCCACCACACCGCUUUACUGGCACUCAUGUGCCCUGGCGGAUUUUAUCUUCCCUAGCUACCCACCAGUGCAUGUGUACAAGUGCACCCUGCCAUGCCACUGCUGCUGGCGUAUCUCGGCUCCCCCAUCGCCCCUGCGUCCCAUCUCCAGCUGUACUGCCACUGCAGUCUGAGCCUUGGGAGGCAUAUGGCUUGUCAGCUCCUCCUCUGCCAGCACCUCACUUCUGUACCAACACUGUCCUAGGAGUGAAACUAGGCAUGGAGAACAGCAGGCCCUCUCCUGCAGUCGCCUUCACCUGCGUGAACACACAGGGUACACACUGUCCUGAGCCCCGCCAGCCCUCCAGCCCAGUGCUACCACCAUCACCAGUGCAACUGUGUGCACAGUCACUAGCAGGGACCUCAACCCUAGAGCCGUGCUGUCUCCAUCACAGCUGUGAAUGCCUGCAUGGAGGCUGGUACCCUGGCACCUGCUAGCACACUAUUAUAGUCCAUGAGCAUGUACUCUGCUGGGCUGCUGCUGACAAAAACAAGCAAUGAGGUAAGGACUCCCUAUUCAAUAAAUGGUACCGGGAUAACUGGCUAGCCAUAUACAGAAGGUUGAAACUGGACCCCCUCCUUACACAAAAAUCAGCUCAAGAUGGAUUAAAGACUAAAAUAUAAAACCCAAAACAAUAAAAACCCUGGAAGACAAACUCUGGAAGGCAAUACCAUUCUAGAGUAGGAAUAGGAAAAUAUUUUAUGAUGAAAAUGCCACAAAAAAUUGCAACAAAAGCAAAAAUUGACAAUUGAGACCUAAUAAAUGUGACAGUUUCUUUUACUGAACUUCUGCACAGUAAAAGAAACUAUCAGCAUGGUAAACACAAUCUACAAAAUGCAAGAAAAUUUUUGCAAAGUAUACAUCUGACAAAGGUCUAACAUCUAGCAUCUAUAAGGAACUUAAAUUUACAAGAAAAAAAUCUCAUUAAAAUGUGAAUGAAGGACAUGAACAGACACUUUUCAAAAGAAGACACACAUUCAGCCAACAAGCGUAUAAAAAAUGCUUUGAUCACUGAUCAUUAGAGAAAUGCAAAGCAAAAUCACGAAGAGAUACCAUUUCACACUAGUCAGAAUGGCUAUUACUAAAAAGUCAAAAAAUAACAUGCUGGAGAGGGUGUGGUAAAACAGAAACACGCACUGUUGGUGGGAGUAUAAAUUGGUUCAGCCACUAUGGAUGAACGGUGAACUGUUGGUGAAACAGGAACACUUAUGCACUGUUGGUGGGAGCAUAAAUUGGUUCAGCCACCGUGGUUCAGCCAUUUGUGGCAAUUCCUCAAAGAGCUAAAAACAGAACUACCAUUUGACCUAGCAAUCCCAUUCCUGGGUACCUACCCCAAGGAAUAGAAAUCAUUCUAUCAUAAAGACACAUGCACACAUAUGUUUAUUGCAGCACACGUUUCCAUGUCUUUGCUGUUCACAAAGCAAUAUUCACAAUAGCAAAGAUGUGGAAUUAGCCUAAAUGCUCAUUAAUGGUAGACUGGAAUUAAAAAAUAUGGUACAUAUGCACUACAGAAUACUAAGCAACUAUAGAAAGAACAAUAUCAUGUUCUUGGCAGGAACAUGAAUGGAACUGGAGACCAUUAUCCUUAGCAAUCUAAUGCAGGGACAGAAAACCAAAUACUACAUGUUUUCACUUAUAAGUGGGAGGUAAAUGAUAAGAACACAUGGACACAUAGUGGGGAACAACAGACACGGAGGGCUACCUGAAGGUAGCAGGAGGGAGGAGGAAGUGGAUCAGGAAAAAUGGAUACUAGGUUUAAUAGCUAGGUGAUGAAAUAAUCUGUACAACAAACCCCAUGACACGAGUUUACCAAUAUAACAAACCUGCACAUGUACCCUCAACUUAAAAGUUUAAAUAAAUAAAAAUAAGUGGGACUGUUGAUUAUGGCAGUUGUCUUAUUCUCCAACACAUGGAGAUUGCAAGUAGUAAGUAAUAAUAGUAAUAAGAGAAAACAUUGUUUAUGUAAACCUGGGAAUUACAAGUUUUUUCAGGGACACUAUAAAGCAGGAACCAUAAAGAAAGAAUGUCAAAUUAUGACUGCAAACUAUUAUUUAAAUGGCAGAGAAACAGCAAAAACAGUAUUGAAAGGCAAAUGACAAACUUGGAAAAUAUUCAUAAGAUGUAUUUAGCAUGGUUUAACAUUUAGUGUUCAGGAUUCAGUUAUGGAUUAUGGAACCCACUCUGGUUCUUUAAGCAGGAAAGGAUUUAAUGUACAGAAUUAGGUGAUUAAUAAAUCAUUGUAAGGGCCAAAGGAGAAAACAUUUAAACUGGCCUGCCAAGCCAACUGCUGCUCUUGUUCACCCAGGAGGCUGCUGAGGAGGCUGUGAUCUCUUCUGCUGGUUAUUGGGUCACAGGGCCACAGCUGUAAGCCAAGGAUCAGGAAGCUGUCACAGCUAUAAGCCAAGGAUCAGGAAGCUGUUCAUAGUUGUAAGCCAAGGAUCAGGAAGCUGUUCACAGCUGUAAGCGAAGGAUCAGGAAGCUGUGGUUGGAACUGUUGGAUCAUGGGCCACACCAAGUCCUCUGACUCCACAGCAGCAAAAAAGCAGAAGAGAAAACACAGAGCGACAUAGAGGAGACCACCAUAUGAAGACGGAGGUAAAAACUGGAGAGACACAUCUAAAGCUAUGGAGUAUUGGCAACUACCAGAUGGAGGUGUUUUUAUAAAAGGGACGCAAAAGAGAGGCGCAGAGAGAAGAUGAGAAGACUGAGGCAGAGGUUGGAGUGAUGCAGCCAGGAGCCAAGGAAUGCCUGCCGCACUUUGAUUUCAAAUAUCUCACCUCCAGAAUUGCAAGAAAAUCAAUUUCUGUUGUUUUAAGCUAUCAAAUUGUGAACAUUUGUAUACGGUAGCCCCAAGAAACAAAUACAGGAAGUACUGACAUGGGAGAGUUCCCUGAUCCCCCUUGCAGGACUUAAGACAAGGGUGUGGCUCCCCUGGGCGGUUGCUGCUGCAGCUCAAACCUCUGAGAAGCGAGGGAGCACGAAGACGGGGAGAUGCAGGAGCUGGGGUAAGUGCUUUGGGCUCCGGCCCCAUCGUAGCGUCUAAGGGUGGGUGUCUGCUGCCCCAGUGUUACAAUGCUCUUUUAGCUUCGCCGGCUGACCAAGUGUUAACCAGCUCAAUGGACCCUCUUCCUCUUUAUAAGGUUAUUGUGUCAGUGUAACAGCUUUCUGUAUCCUGAGCUCUUGCCCCGCGUCCUGGAAGACUCAGGUCACACAGGGGCUUGAAGGAUGAAUGUGGAGGUUUUUCUUGAGCGAAUGUGGAGGUGACUCUAAGUGGGAUGGACGAGGAGCCAGAAGGGAGGAUAGAGUGUUAAGAUGAUCUUCCCCUGGAGCCUGGCCGUCCAGUGGCUGACCCCUCUCCAGCCGCCCCCAGCUGAACCCCUGGCAUUUAGAUGUUCCUCCUGUCUUUGCUGCGUGCUUCCACCGCUGGUCUGCGUGUGGAGCCUGGGGUUUCACAUUCAUAUGAGUCCAGGAUGGGGGCCAUGGUGGGCCAAAAGGCAACAUUUUGGGUGCAAAAACAGAAACGCCUGUUCCCACUUAGGCCGCGGGCCUCCAGGCUGGAGUGCGGGGCCUUUGCCAGGGAACCGCCGUCUUCUACCCACUACUUCCAUCUCCUGUUCCUAUCAGUUUCUCAAACUCUAACUUGCACGUAAUAUUUUCAACUCCCUUUUCAGUCAUUAUUGUUGCCAGCUUGCACAGUGAAUGUGUGUGUAUGUUAAUGAAUACAAAGAAUAUAAACAGUACAUCAUAAAUCUCAUUUGCAUCAAUCUCUGCUCAUAAGAAUUAUUUUCUCAGCAUUCCUGAAUCUGAAGGAGAGACAUUACAGUAUGCUGAGUAGACAGCAGAAACUGGGAGUUAAGUUUGCUGAGUCUCUGUAAUGAACAUGCUGCUAUUCAGGAAACACACUAAUACAUUCUCGUAAUUACGAUUUGGUAACUAUUUGAUAAAUGUAAUUCUUUUCAGGUAGCGUACCUGGUAAUUACUUACAUAAAUAGUAGUUCAAUCAUUAUCUGAUGCGUCUUGUGGAGGUUUUGGUUCAGCUGGACCAGGGAUGAUGUCUGUUAGGACGUGAGAUUGGAAGAUACAAGCUGCUUUUUCUGGGGAACGUGUCUGUCGAAGUCAGGAUGUAAGAUGGCAAACCCCUUCCUUUGCCUGUCACCAUCGGCAUGGAGAGAGUAGUGAUAAAUCAUUGUAAUAACAGUGGCAGUGGACUGUCAGCUCGGUGAGGGAAUCCAGAUGAAUUUUCCUUUUCAAGCCAUCAGUUUUAAGCAAAUGAGAGGCCUAAAGCAAAGUGUAAAAAUAACUGCUGUAAACCAAGAGAAUGACUGUAGAUACAGGAGAUAUUAACUGACAGAAUUUCCUUUUUUCUGCUUGCUCUUCAAGGAUGACUGGACACUGUAAAACCUCAUUAAAUCAAAGGUUUUACAUCUGCGAUUUCUUUUCAGUUCCAACAAGGGCUACGCUUGCAGUUUCUGAUUUACUGCCACAUCCCCAGUGCCUGGCACAUGGUAAUAAUAACGAUAAUGACGGCAAUCAUAAACAUUUGUGCAUUUACCUUUUAGUCUGGCUGUAUUCUAAGUGCAUUGUGUAUAAUUUAUCCUUAGAACUACCUGAGAGGCAGGUGAUUUUAUUUCCAUUUGCACCUUGAAGAAACGGGUGCAGAGAGUUAAGGCAGUUGCCCAAGCCGCACUAUUAACAUGAGUGAAGGUAGGAUUUGAACCCAGGAGGUCAAACUCCAGAGCUUAAGAAACUUUCCAGCUUAAGAAAGAUCAGGAAUACUCAGUAAAUAACACCAAUGAACUCACUCUUACCGAGCACUUACAACAUGCCUGGCACUGUCUGUCUUUUGCAUGUAUUUACACAUUUAGUAUCUGUUAAGUACUUAUUUAUGGGUACUCUUUUAGAUCUGAUUUACAUAAAAGAAAACUGAGGCACAGGACAAUUUAGAAAAUUGUCCAGACUUGAUAUUAAUAGCUAUUAUGUGGCAGUAGCAGGCUUCCCAAGACAGACUAUCUCAGCUAGUCUCCAUCCUCCUAAUCACUAAGCACUGCCACCUCUCCUGUGAACAUAUCAUAAGAUGCAUCUUCAUCAUAGUUGGGGGGAAAGAGCCCUCCUGAAAAUAACAAUUUCAGUAUUGUUAAGGCCGUUUAGAGGCAACCAGAACAGUUUUGGAAAUGCAGAAUCUCGGGCCCAUUUAAAACUCAUUGAGCCAGAAUCUGCAUUUAAAUGAGUUCUCCAGCUGAUUCAGUUCAAAUUGAAAUCUGAAAAGUACUUCUCUAGACCAGAGUUCUCCAAUUUUGCUGCAUAUCAGAAUCAUGUGAGGAGUAGAGACACUAGUUUAUUUGGCCUGGGGGUGUUGCCUGAAAACUGGGAUUUAAAAAAGCCCCCAUCCAGGUGAUGUUAAUGCAUAGCCAAGGUUGAGAACAACAGGUAUAGAGACUACAGUUUUGGAGUCCUUUGUCCCUGUAAUUAUUUAUUCAACAAAUAACACUCUUCAAUAAUACAGGCAUUGCUGUGGGUACUACGACUAUGUAACAGCAACCAGAUACAGUCCCUGAACUUGGGGAAUGAGCUGGGCAAGUUACUUAUCCUUUCUGAGCCUCAGUUUCCUUAUCUGUGAAAUGCAAUAGGCAGCUUUCUGCUGCAUGAUGACGUUUCUGCCAAUGAUGGACUGCAUAUGUGAGAGUGGUCCCAUGAGAUCAUAAUGAAGCUGAAAGUUCCUAUCAUCUAGUGAUGUCGCCAUCAUAAUGUCCUAGUGGUGGUGACAGGAGGAUAGAAAAACCCAACAACAGGUAAAAUAAGAACUAGCCAAAUAAACUACAGGAUAACAGAAAACUCAAUAAGAGAAAAAACAGCCAAAACCCUGUUCAGAGUGACAUGUCCAUGAUGCUUCCAGGCAAACCCAAAUAAGAGAGAAAGUAUGGGUUAGUAAUCAGGGGUCCCUGAAAUGCUCUUUUUUUUCCCCAGAAUAUCUAAUGAUUAUUUCAUUCCCUAAUUUAAAAAAAAAACGCCCAUAAAAUAGAAAUGCUGGGUGGUUUCAGGAGAAGCAGGAAAAUAUCAAGCAAUAGUUUUACCAACAGCAAGAAAGGAGCUGUUAAAAUUAGCUACAAGGACAAAGAUGAGCCUGGGCUGAUAAGACCCUAGCUAACAGGAUGGGGGCUAAGCUGAUUGAAACCAGCGAAGACCAACACAGCAUUGGAUUUGACCCAGAUCCUACUCCAGACCUAAUUAUACACUCAUUACUCUCCCAAAUCUCUGACUCACCUGUGCCAUGACAGAUCUGACCAUGCCCAUAUUUACUAUAAAAAUGGGUGGCACUCCAAGUCUAAGAUAUCACCACCUUUUUCCUAGAAGCCCUCAGGAUUCCACCUUUUAAUUAGAAGAGCUUAUUAAAUUAGAAACCCAAACUCCAUUGUGUGCAACUCACUUUUCCAGGUUCACUCACACUCUUGCUCUUGAGUGGGUACUUUCACUUUGCAAUAAAAUCUUCUUGCCUUUUGCUUUACUCUGACUCAUCUCUGAAUUCUCUCUUGCAACGAUGUCAAGAACCUGCAACACUGGCUGGGGCUGGGGUCUCACCGGCAUCUGGAGACCCACACAAGCCCUCCAGUGAUAUUGUAAAUACUGUUUCCUGGAACUGGGUUUAUGACUAGAAGAUACCCAUAGUUUGUGAGAGCUUGUUUGCUCCCUAGUAAGCUGACCUUUCUGAAGCUGCCUUUCCCAGGAUGCCUUGCAGGAAGAUGUAUGCCUGCAAUGUACAGCAGCUGGCUUGGCAGAUGCCUGGAGGACAGCGUUUUGGCUUGAAUGGGCAGACAAUGCACUAUGGUUUACUUGUCUCACUCUUGAGGUUUUCACAGAUGAAUUCAGCAGCUAUUUAUAUCAGAAAGAUUAUUGACAUUCACUCUAAAACAAUAUGUUGGUAAAUACUUAUUGUUUAUCAGGGUUCUAUAUAGUAUUAGGCAUAUUUAAAUCCCUGUAACUUUGCAAGGGAAAUGGCAUUCCCCACAAUUCCCCCCAAUUCCCCUUGGAAUCUGGUACCAAGGAGGCAUCUGCCCAAGUUCACAGCAUAAAUCCAAGCCUGUCUGAUUUCAGAAUCUGUGCUCUUUUCGCAACCAUAUGAUAUCUUCAUAUGGCUCACACUGUGAAUUUGGGUCUGUUUGAUUCUGAAAUCCAUGCUCUUUUUACAACCAUAUGAUACCUUCCAUACUUUUCAGUUUGACUUCUUUAAUUUAUGCUUUUAACAGCUGAUUACCAUUUUGCUCCAGAGAAUUUCCUAAGGAUUCUUUUUUCCUGCUAAGUUUUUAGAAAAGUGAGAAUGUACGUCAUUGUUAUGACCUAGAGAGGUUGUCCUCCUUUUUCCUCAGGGAUGUAUUUACCUGUUACUCUAAAAAUUCUCCUAGAAAUGGAAAUUACCUUAACUUUAAGCCAAAGUAGGAUCAGUUCUGUGCUUCGUAUUUUUUUUCCUUAGGCUUUUUAUUUUUAUCUUCACAAUGAUAUCAUCUGAAGGCAUAGGAGGCAGUCUGUGUGAUUUGAAGAAUGCUCGAGGCAUUUGAUGGAUUGCCAUAAUUCUAGAAAUUUUUAUCAAGGCAUUCUAUACCCCUGUUAAUGAAAAUAUAUUGAAUUGAAGGUGAAUCUAUUUCAUUGUUCGAUUGAUUUAUUGAACAGAGUAGCUAAUCACUCAAAAAAUGGAAUAGUCAGCUGGGUGCAGUGGCUCACGCCUGUAAUCCCAGCACUUUG